CUCAGCCAAACAGGUGUAUGAUGGGAAGACGCGGGCUGUGAAGGGUGAAUUUUCUUACGUGGAGGAUCCUUAUGCGGUGUUCAUUGCAUCCUACGCACUGAAAGCACAGGAAAGAAGUUUAAUUCACCUGACAGUACUUGUGCAGAUUAUGAGUUUCAGAUGAAACCCUGUGAAGCUGAUUGGAAAGUACCCUGAGAUGACAUAGUAUACAGAUCAUUAGAAGAAGAAAACAGUUUUGAUGUUGAAGAGCCUGACAAGGGCCAACAGGACAUCUCUACCUGCUGACGUCACGUCAAACUCCCGCUGUCCUUCAGUGUUGUCGGCCUCAGCGGCUCAAAAAACACCGGGAGCAAAAGGUUACCUUCUCCACAGAAACAUGUAAACAGACUGAAAGGUCAUCAAACAGAGCCCUGUGCUGCAGCGCCCAUCUCUAGCGGAGGAGGAAUUUAAAAAAGAAAGGUUGUGAGGAAAAGUGGCUGGCCCUUUCAAAAGCACAGAACAGGACAAGAAGGGUAAGUGGAAGAAAGAGAAGCAGAGCGCACACGCUUUCUUCUAUAACCCCCUCCAUAAGUCUCCUGCAACUCAAUUGGGUGAAUUAGAAUAGCAAGCAUAUAUCAAUGUGUGGGACUAACCUUGUUUACCUCUGGGUCUCACGUCUGGGCCGCUGUUUUGUUGUGGUGUAACAACACUAAAAAGCAUUUCAGGUUGUUCACGGUCAAGUCAGGUAAAAAAAAAAAGGGUUCAGAUGAGUUUGAUACUCCAGAAUGAAAUAACAUGCUAGAUGCCUAAUGUUGGUGAAGUUAACGUAGAUGUACUGUACAAACAUUAAGAAGAUGGUCACUCUUUGCGAUGUGUUUAAACGUGAAUUCCCAUGCUCCUAAUGUACCGCUGGGAUUAACUCAGCGACGACAGAGUAAUAUAAUGCCGUUUGGUUUCAAAUGACGCUAGUGACAUGGAUUAGAGCAAUAGAAACAGAAGAGGAAUAUAAACCAGAGAUGACACCUAAAAUGGCUGCUGAUUUAUCGCCGUGGUGAGUUUGGUACUGGGCUUCCAUGUAUAUUAGCGCAACAAAUCUGGGUCCAUUUAGCAAGGAGAUGCUCAUACAUACAUCACCAGUUUCAGCUCCAAGCCAAGGUCACAACUCAUUGCAUCAAUCUUUUCAGCAGAGGCUACUCCACACAAGGGCAGGUUUGUAACUGUCGCCACGGUAAUAGAAUCUUUUUUUCCUCUGCUUCAUCUUUUCUCUUAUCAUGUGAAAUAUAUAUUCAACUUCUCCUCUUUCCCUCAUUCUCUUCUAUUGCAUUUUUUUUAUCUUUAAAACAUUCGGUGAACCUCAUUCUUUUUCCGCGGACACGUGCUCUGAGGAUCGUAGAUUUUUAACGCUUUCAUUUCUGGCCCUGUCAGGGGGCUUUUAUAAAAAAGAACAGUCCUUCUACAAAUAGCCUUGACCUCAUGAAAUAUCUUUGAUAGGUUUUUCCUAUGAACGUAUUGAAAAUUAAAUAUGUGUGUGUAUUUAUAUAAAUUUAUGUACAAAACUUUUGUA